rnacentral:rRNA from 1 species
AACUUUCAACAACGGAUCUCUUGGUUCUGGCAUCGAUGAAGAACGCAGCGAAAUGCGAUAAGUAAUGUGAAUUGCAGAAUUCAGGAAUCACGAAUCUUUGAACGCACAUUGCGCCCCUGGUAUUCCGGGGGCAUGCCUGUUCGAGCGUCAUU